rnacentral:rRNA from 1 species
CUACGGGGCGCUCCAGUGAGGAAUAUUGCACAAUGGGGGGAACCCUGAUGCAGCAACGCCGCGUGGAGGAUGACGCAUUUCGGUGUGUAAACUCCUUUUAUAUGUCAAGAAAAUGACGGUAGCAUAUGAAUAAGCACCGGCUAACUCCGUGCCAGCAGCCGCGGUAAUACGGAGGGUGCAAGCGUUACUCGGAAUCACUGGGCGUAAAGGACGCGUAGGCGGGCUUGUAAGUCAGGUGUGAAAUCCUACGGCUUAACUGUAGAACUGCACUUGAAACUACGAGCCUAGAGUAUGGGAGGGGGAGAUGGAAUUAGUGGUGUAGGGGUAAUAUCCGUAGAUAUCACUAGGAAUACCUAAAGCGAAGGCGAUCUCCUGGAACAUAACUGACGCUAAGGCGUGAAAGCGUGGGGAGCAAACAGGAUUAGAUACCCGGGUAGUC